rnacentral:lncRNA from 1 species
AACAAAAUUAGGUAAAUUGAGUUUGAGCACAACAACUUCAUUUUAAAAGUUACGUAUCUAUAGACUCAGCAAAAACCCAUUGACACGAACACAGUAGAACACUAACCUUGCAGAAAUCCCUAAAUGCACCACGGCAGCGCCAACAACCUCCCUACACGACGACAACGGGAAAAACAACAUAAUUUGGCGUCCACGAACCAGCUCAACGGCAGCACCAACUAGCUCAUAAAUCCCUCAACGCAACUCCAACCGCCACCAACCCUACGAUCGAGAACGUCAAUGGGGUGCUCUCAGCCACCUGAAGACCAGGAAUGCGAGAACCACCUCAACGCUGGCUUCGCUUGGCUUCGAAGAGGAAUGUUGUAGCUGUGGUUGGGAACCCCCAAGACACGAGAGGAAGAAGGAAUGGAAAAAUCGAAAUGGGGAAGUCAAAUUUCAAGAAAAAAACGAGAGCUAACACAGAGCCAUUGAAGUGAAAUUUCACAAAAAUUUGACAGUGGUUAGGUUUGGGGGUUCUGGAGGAAGAGGACGGGGAAGAACUUCUCACGCGAAAAAGAUUUUGGCAGAAUGGGAAACUGAAUUUUUAUUUCAUUAAGUCUGAGUAACAUACCGUCGGCCAAAAUUCUUCGCUAAAUGCACUGUGCCAAUACAGACGACCAUUGCCCUUCGAUAAACAUCACAUUAAAAGGCCGUCGAAAAAGCCUUCGGUAAUUCAGAUUUACCGAAGGCUUGAUGGUCGUCGCUAUGUAUCCUUCGGUAAUUGAUACUUUUAUUGUAGUGAAACUUAACUUUUAUGUUGUGGAAAAUUUGGUAUUUGUAAUGUGUGUUUUAUUUAUAAAGGUGAGUGAUUUGAGUGACAUUCUGUCUCAUUUCGUUUCUUUUAAUUAUAUUGGUCAUUCAAGUGCAAAACAAACAUCAUAAAGCAAUGAGCAAUAAAC